AUUGAACGCUGGCGGCAGGCCUAACACAUGCAAGUCGAGCGGUAACAGGGAGUGCUUGCACUCUGCUGACGAGCGGCGGACGGGUGAGUAAUGCAUAGGAAUCUGCCUGGUAGUGGGGGAUAGCCCAGAGAAAUUUGGAUUAAUACCGCAUACGCCCUACGGGGGAAAGCAGGGGAUCUUCGGACCUUGCGCUAUCAGAUGAGCCUAUGUCGGAUUAGCUUGUUGGUGAGGUAAUGGCUCACCAAGGCGACGAUCCGUAGCUGGUCUGAGAGGAUGAUCAGCCACACUGGGGACUGAGACACGGCCCAGACUCCUACGGGAGGCAGCAGUGGGGAAUAUUGGACAAUGGGCGAAAGCCUGAUCCAGCCAUGCCGCGUGUGUGAAGAAGGCUUUCGGGUUGUAAAGCACUUUCAGCGAGGAGGAAAGGAGUGGUGCUAAUAUCACCGCUCUGUGACGUUACUCGCA
rnacentral:rRNA from 1 species